UAGGGGAAUAUUUGGACAAUGGGCGCAAGCCUGAUCCAGCCAUGCCGCGUGGGUGAAGAAGGCCUUCGGGUUGUAAAGCCCUUUUGUUGGGAAAGAAAUCCAUGUGGUUAAUACCCGGUUGGGAUGACGGUACCCAAAGAAUAAGCACCGGCUAACUUCGUGCCAGCAGCCGCGGUAAUAGCGCGGCGGGC
rnacentral:rRNA from 1 species